AUUGGUCAGAGUAACAGUGUCUGUUUUUGGAUUUAGAAUUGAUGUGCUUUAAAUCUUGUAGACUUUCCGAGAAGGCUCAAGGUUCAAAAGGAUAGAUAAUCACUUUGGAUGGUUUGCUUUGAUGGAAGCAGAGGUCGAAGAUGAUGAAGAUGAUGACGACUCCAUGGACAAUGAAACAACAGAAGCAGAUGAGCAGUGUCUAAGGACCAAGGAGUCAAAACAUCCAGUUGACUACAAAAGAAAAUAUCUUGGAUUAAAAAGGAUAAUAAAGCAACUGGUGUUUG